CUGUUGUCUUUAGGAUUCAGUAACAAAAUCUUUACAAUUAAUCACCGUAUUUGUUUCGCUACGCUGGGAAGGAGCUGGGUCCGUUUUUCCUCUUUUUUUGUUGUUACUGUUGUGGAAACGCACCGCCGUAUCGCCCACCGAGCGCCACGAAUGUAGUGGGCAGGUUAAGUCAUCUGUGAUGAAGUCUCAUGAAGUCUUCCACUGGAGCUGACAUUUGCAGUCAGCAAGAAACCACAGUACUGCCACAGCAGCAGGAGAACCCCCCCCAGACACAGCACUUCUCCUCCCUCUCAUUCAAGUCACACCCUAAAGUCUGCUCCCUUCUGCAAUGGCCAGCCGAAGAAAGUCAACCGUUCCAUGCAUGAUCCGGUUGAGUGAGGUGACAGAGCAGGAUGACAAGGAAAUGGACAUCUCUUCUAACAAAGCUGUGGAAAACAGGCCACCACCUGUAAUGUCUAAGGACACCGUUUUAGCAAAGGAUGCCAGAAGCGGCUAUGAAGAGGCUGCUCCGAAGCACCACGCAGAGGACGGGCAUCAACCACGAAAGCAGCAGGGUGGUUACGAGUGCAAGUAUUGUCCUUUUUCCACUCAGAACUUGACUACCUUCAAAGAACAUGUGGACUCCAGCCAUCCCAACGUCAUACUCAAUCCUCUUUACCUGUGUGCUGUGUGCAACUUCAACACGAAGAAGUUUGACUCGCUAACAGAACAUAAUGAGACGUGUCAUCCUGGGGAGUGCAACUUCAAGUUCAAAAGGAUAAAAGUUAACAGUCAGACCAUACUAGAACAAACAAUUGAAGGUGUGACCAAUGUAGGUGCGGGUGAUGCCAGUCAAGGAGGGGAAGGAUCUGCCCCUUUUAUAGGUAAAUCUUCUACCACCAAGACUGGACAGCCUAAAUUAAAUAAGAAGCUGGAGAGUCCUUUGGACAACCUAAAUCCCAAAGACCAAAUCACGAUAAAUGUGAACGGAAUGGUUAUUAUCCCUGAAUCGACUAUUAAAGAAGGACUCUCUCAUGUGAUGCCCUUACUUCAGCGCCCACCCAACUAUAACUCCAUACCAAAAAUUGCUGUCCCCUUGAACACCACCAAAUACAACCCCUCCCUGGACAACAACAUGACCCUCAUCACAUCCUUCAACAAGUUCCCUUACCCAACCCAUGCCGAGAUGUCCUGGCUCACUGCUGCCUCCAAGCAUCCCGAAGAGCAGAUAAAAGUCUGGUUCACCACUCAGCGGCUAAAACAGGGCAUAACCUGGUCGCCGGAGGAAGUAGAAGAGGCCCGUAAGAAGAUGUUUGAUGGAUCCAUCCCGCCUGUACAACAGACCUUUGCUGUUGUGCCUACCCCACUGACAAAGCCAGCAAAACUUGCCCAGUCAGUAGUUCAGACUGUUCCUUGCCAGCUGCUUGGUCAGUCUGGUGUGGUUCUUACAACCGUUGCCAGCGGUUCCACCAUGACUUGCUCACCCAUUGCACUUACAGUAGCCAACCAGUCGCAUACCUUUAAGCGGCCCUUGACUCCUCCAGCUUUGGCCCCUGAAGUGAAGCGACCCAUGGUAGCCCCGGUGAUUGCGCCCGAGAAGAAGCGUCUGACUGCUCCGGUGCCGGCCUCUGACGCGAAGCUGGCUGUGGCAGCGACGGCAAUAGCCGGUGAAGCGACGCGGCCGAUCGUCGCCCCGGCGCAGGCCUCUGAGGUGAAGCAGCCAGGAGUAGCUUCGAUACCGAUGUCUGAAGUAAAGAAGUCAGUCAUAGCCCCGGUGCUGACCUCUGAAGCGAAGCAUCCAGCUGGUGUUCCCGUGCGCACCUCCGAAGCCAAGCACCCAAUCGUGGCCCCUGUGCUAACUCCCGAAGCAAAGCGAAAGAUCUCGGCCCCGGUUCUGGCCCCUGAAGGAAAGCGACCGACAGCAGCAGUAAUUGUGGCUCUUGAAGCGAAGAGGCCAGUGGCCACUCUAAGUGCGCCCGUCGAUGCAAACCCACUGGUGGCCACCCAGGUAGGAGCCCCUGAAGGGAAGCUGAACGCCACAGCUAACACUGGUCUCCCCGACGUCAAGAGGCCAACAAUAAUCCAGUCUGUCCAGUCCCCCCGUAAAACCGCUUCUCCUAAAAAUGCAGAAGAUCAUAUCGCCGAGUUUAGAGCCACUUAUGACACGUGCCAGGGUCCAGAGGACGAGGCUGCUGUCUUCUCGGGAGGUGAGCUCAGAAAAGCCUGUCCUAAUAACAAGGCCAAGGUGUGUGCAAGCAGCGAGUCUGUGUCGAAAGAGACGCCGCCCAGGACCGUCCUCUCUCAGUUCCCUCUCCUGGACAGAGUGAAAGGAAAGACUGCUGAACAGCUCAAGAUUUUGGAGGAGAGUUUCCAGAGGAGCAGCUUCCCGACGCACAGCGAGGUCGAAAGCCUCAUGAGCGAGACGAGGCUCUCGAAGAUGGAAAUAGACUGCUGGUUUUCAGAGCGCCGUGCGCUGCGCGACAACCUGGAACAGGCAGUGUUGAACUCCAUGGGUUCGAGGAAGGCAGAUGGAGGGGAGAGGCAACGGCCACGAGCGAGCGCACUGAACGGCAUGCACGAGAAGGACGGCCGGCCCAAGGGUUCUCCUCUCCCCGCUGCCAGCACGUCUCCCUCUUCCGCGCCAAUAGACGGUAAAUCGCUGCUCCUGCUCAGAGAUGUCUUUGCGCAGACCCGCUGGCCAUCGCCUGAGGAGUACAGCCAGCUGGAGGUGCAGACGGGUCUGGCUCGCACCGAAAUUGUCCGCUGGUUCAAGGACAACCGGUUGCGUCUUAAGAGCGGUGCCUUGGAAUGGAUGGAACUGUUCCAGCAGAUAAGCGGCAGGGGACAGAACGGCCAGGGUGGCCUGUCUGGCGCAGAUCGUGCCCAGAGUGCCCUCUUGAGGCGCUGCCAGGAAAACAGGCCAGCUCGGCCCGGGGAUGCGGGCGGGCUGCCGGAGUGCGCCAGGCUCAGCAGUCGAGACAUCGCCGACUGGUUCACCAACAAGCUGGGACGUAACGGGCCCAAUGCUGCCCGCAACGGAGCCCAGAAUGGCAUAACUGCAGAGGAUCCCGGGAGCUGGGUGGACGUGACCAUGGGGGCCGGUGCAAGCUUGAGGGACCCGGAGCUGGUCUUGGACACUGGAAACGUGGUGAAGACGCCUCUGGAAGGGUGACGGAGUUGAUGCGUUGGCCAGGUGACAAGUGGCCGCUGUCAGUUGCACAGAAGAGAAGGAAGGGGAAAGUGGUUUUUUUUUUUUUUUUUUUUUGUCUUUUACAUAUUGGAACCAAUGAUUUUCUUUGCUGUCUAAGCGAAAAGCAGCGCUGUCUCAGUGUUGCUCUGCUGUCAGAACGGAAUGUAUCGUGCUAACUGUGACGAAGUGGAGGCACAGGGCGAAGGCUACGCGUGUCCCUGACGCACCGACGUCCGCUGGAGAUGCUAUUGGUGGGCUUUGCGGAGGACGAGGAGGUGGGCGGCAAGGUAACAUGACGCAGUCUUUUAGGUCCCUUACCCUUUGUGCAGUGGAGAUUAGUUGUAAAUCACUAUUUCUCUUAAGAGUCCUUUGUGGGCUCAGCUGGCAGAAACUGUGUAACUCAUAGGCCUUGUAUAUGUAAGAGUGAAAAGUGACCGUUGUAAUGUCCCUCCACGACUGACUCGACGUCCAUGUGCUGUAUGCUGCCGUAAGGAGCGCUGCGUCUUUUUGCACUCGCGGAUUUCAACAAAUGAUAAUUAACAGCAUACGAACGAACUUUACAUUCUUUCUUGUGCUUUAAAGUUAGCUGUCGCAACAACUUACCUUGUACGCUACUUCUGUGCUCAGCGUGGGUUGUGAAAACGCACUUAAUCUUCCCUUUCAUAACUACACAUUUAGACAUUUGUACUAAGGUGUAUGCAAAAUGUCCCUCCAUAUUGACCAGGACACAUUCUCCCCAUAGGCAAUAUUUACAACUAGAAUAUGACUUCUUUGGUGAAAACACUAUCACAUAAUGACCGGUAAGAAAUGACCAGGCUACUGUAACCACAGUAACAUAGUAAAAAGCCACUGACCUUCUCCCGGCCCACCACUGACUCAGCAGCCUGUCCGCUCAUGCGUUGUUCUUUCCGAAAGGGAAGCAAACCUCACCCAUGCUGCCCUUGAGCAUAAAACUAUUAUAGGCAAGCAGAAAAUGAAAUAGGGAGCCAUAUUUAUUACUCAAUGUGAAUCUGCCAAGUUUUUUUUUUUCUUUUAACACGACAAAUCAAAACUUCUACAAAGGACCCCAUUCAAAAAACUAAAACUGAAUCUGAGAUGUCUUUAUGAAAAGAUAAUACAAACCUAAGAAAUUUCAGGAAGUGACAUUAGAACAUUCCAUCAGCUAAAAGAAACUGCAUUGACAGUUUGAAUUACAUAUUCUGUUUCCCUCAGCUGACCCUAGCAACAAUGUAUACAUUGUCUACUUCAGAACAUUUUAGAUUAUAAAAUUAUAGCUGACCAGUGUCAACACGGCUGAUUAUUUGGGGGGGAGGUUAUGUAGUGUUUAUCUUCCACAGAGGAAGAAAACAUCACUGAACAGACAGCAUUCCUCACAGUGCCAGCCAAAAAAUGAUAAUUUUGUCACACCUCUCCCUUGGAAACAGUGUUUUGGCACCAUUGCACUGUUUUGAUGCUCCUGAAUUUUAUUUCCAGAGAUCAGCAAUGUAUACAAACAAAUCAUGUAUCUGUGGUGUUCAGCCUUUACUGCUGCUGGGCUGCCUGGAAUAUUCAAGACCAUACAAACCCCUCAAUCAGUUUACACUUGAAAAAAACAAAAAAAAAAAAAAAAAAAAAUGUAUUA